AUUGAACGCUGGCGGCAUGCUUUACACAUGCAAGUCAUACGGAAGUUAGUUUCGGCUAACUUCAGUGGCGGACGGGUGAGUAACACGUGAGAAUUCGCCUUUAGGAGGGGGAUAACAGGGGGAAACACCUGCUAAAACCCCAUAUGCCUUCGGGUCAAAAGAGUAAUCUGCCUAAAGAGAAGCUCGCGGCUGAUUAGCUAGUUGGUGGGGUAAAGGCCUACCAAGGUGACGAUCAGUAGCUGGUCUGAGAGGACGAUCAGCCACACUGGAGCUGAGACACGGUCCAGACUCCUACGGGAGGCAGCAGUGAGGAAUUUUCUGCAAUGGGCGAAAGCCUGACAGAGCAAUACCGCGUGAGGGAAGAAGGCUUACUGAGUUGUAAACCUCUGUUACCUAAGGAGGAAGAUCUGACGUUACUUAGGAGACGAAGCAUCGGCUAACUCCGUGCCAGCAGCCGCGGUAACAC
rnacentral:rRNA from 1 species